rnacentral:lncRNA from 1 species
AUGGAGCGGCGUCGUCCUUGUCUUGUGCACCCCCAGCCGCCGGCAGACCUCCCCGAAGACCUGGGACUCAAAGUUCCGCCCCUGGUCGCUGUGGAGCUCGGCAGGGACCCCGAAACGGGCAAACAUCUCCUCCACCAGCCUCUCUGCGGUGGUGGCGGCGCUCUGAUCCGGCACCGCAUACGCCUCGGGCCAUUUGGUGAAGUAGUCCAUGGCCACGAGGACGUAGCGGUUGCCGGAGUCGGUGACUGGAAACGGCCCCAGGACGUCGACCCUCACCCGUUCCAUCGGUGCUCCGUACUGCUGGAGCGGGGCGUGGGAACGCUGGGCAGGCCCUUUCUGCGCCGUACAGGUGUCGCAGCAGUGGACAUGCAACUCCACGUCCCGUCGACAGCCCGGCCAGUAGAACCGCCCCCGCAGGCGAUGCAGGGUCUUGGCGUUCCCGUAGUGCCCCGCUCCCACCGAGCCGUGGACCAGCUGCAGCACCUGGGGACGAAGCGCACGGGGCACCAACAGCUGCAGAAUGUUUUUCUUACCCCUAGGGUCCUGCCAGCUGCGGUGGACCACCUCGUUGUGGAGCCGGAAGCAUCCCCACUGGGGGUGGUAGGCCUUCACCUCCGGCCAGCUGGGGCGCUGCCCCGCCUCCAGCCAGUCCCUCACCAACGCCAGGGUCUCAUCGGCCCGCUGCUGCUGCUCCAACUGACUCACCGUCAGCAGGAGCCACCCCUCUGCCUCACCGAUGGUCUGGUCAGCCUCGGUGGUCUGGAGAGCCGCCACCAUCGGAGACUCGUGGACCCGCUCCUCCUGUCGCAGGCAGUAGCGACACUCCAGGACCGUACAGGGGCGCCGGGAGAGUGCGUCGGCGUUGUUGUGGAUACGCCCCGCCCGAUGCUGGAUCUCAAAGUCGUAUUCUUGCAGAAUCUCCAGCCAUCGAGCCACCUGGCCCUCAGGGUUCUUAAAACUGAAGAGCCACGUGAGGGACGCAUGGUCGGUGCGGACCAGGAAACGCUUCCCAUGUAG